UUGAUCUCAAAUCAGGUGGGAUUACCCGCUGAACUUAA
rnacentral:rRNA from 1 species